rnacentral:rRNA from 1 species
CUGUGCCCGGGCUGGCGCUGUCGAAGUUGACCUGGAAAGGCACGUCGGAGAGGGUGAGAGCCCCGUGCGCGACACCGCCGGGCCGGGCCGUUGCUGUCUUCGGAGAGUCGGGUUGUUCGGGAAUGCAGCCCAAAGUGGGUGGUAAACUCCAUCUAAAGCUAAAUACCGGCGCGAGACCGAUAGCGAACAAGUACCGUGAGGGAAAGGUGAAAAGUACUUUGAAAAGAGAGUCAAAAAGACCGCGAAACCGUUGGGAGGGAAACGAAUGCGGCUGAAGUGGCUCCCCGUCAGGCUCAGGAGACGUCGAGGGGGCCCCGCGGCCGUGCGCCUGCGCGCGCCGGCCUGCUGGGCGCUCUCCGACCGAUCUGCACUUCUGCGGGGAGCCGGCCAACGGCAGUUGCUUUGUCCCGGCCCAAGAGGGCGGCGUGGGAAGGUGGCCUCGCGUUCGCGCGGGGAACUUAUUAGCCCGUCGCCAGGGCGUUCCGGGAGCGACUGAGGAGAGCUUGCGAGAUUCUUCGCACGAGCAGCGCAGGCUGCCGCCCUAAAAAGCGGCGGCUGGGCCGCUUCCGUCCGACGUGCGGCCGCGGUCGUCACCGCUUGCGGUGGCCGCCGACGGUUUCUUCGCGCGCUGGGGCGGGAGGCCGGUCGCACCUUGCGCUGCGGUCGUUGGUGCCCGAAUGGCCGCAUCCGACCCGUCUUAAAA